UAGGGAAUCUUCGGCAAUGGGGGGAACCCUGACCGAGCAACGCCGCGUGAGUGAAGAAGGUUUUCGGUUCGUAAAGCCCUGUUGUUAAGGAAGAACGAGUGUGAGAAUGGAAAGUUCAUGCUGUGACGGUACUUAACCAGAAAGGGACGGCUAACUACGUGCCAGCAGCCGCGGUAAUACGUAGGUCCCGAGCGUUGUCCGGAUUUAUUGGGCGUAAAGCGAGCGCAGGCGGUUAGAAAAGUCUGAAGUGAAAGGCAGUGGCUCAACCAUUGUAGGGUGUGGAAACUGUUGAACUUGAGGGCAGAAGGGGAGAGUGGAAUUCCAUGUGUAGCGGGGAAAAGCGUAGAUAGAUGGAGGAACACCGGUGGCGAAAGCGGCUCUCUGGUCUGUAACUGACGGUGAGGCUAGAAAGCGUGGGGAGCGAACAGG
rnacentral:rRNA from 1 species